AUACGUAAGGGGCGAGCGUUGUUCGGAAUUAUUGGGUGUAAAGGGCGCGUAGGCGGUCUGGCAAGUCUGGUGUUGAAGGCUACGGCUUAACUGUAGUUUGGCGCUGGAAACUGCUGGGCUUGAGUUUAGGAGGGGGAGCUGGAAUUCCAGGUGUAGGGGUGAAAUCUGUAGAUAUCUGGAAGAACACCGGUGGCGAAGGCGAGCUCCUGGCCAUAGACUGACGCUGAGGCGCGAAAGCGUGGGGAGCGAACAGGAUUAGAUACCCUGGUAGUCCACGCUGUAAACGGUGUACACUAGGUGUCGGGCCAAGAGGUUCGGUGCCGGAGCAAACGCGUUAAGUGUACCACCUGGGGAGUAUGCCGGCAACGGUGAA
rnacentral:rRNA from 1 species